CACGUAGGCACCAAGCGUUGUCCGGAUUUAUUGGGCGUAAAGAGCUCGUAGGCGGUUCAGUAAGUCAGGUGUGAAAUCUUUGGGCUUAACCCAAAGCGUGCGCUUGAUACUGCUGUGACUUGAGUUCGGUAGGGGAGUGGGGAAUUCCUAGUGUAGCGGUGAAAUGCGCAGAUAUUAGGAGGAACACCGGUGGCGAAGGCGCCACUCUGGGCCGAAACUGACGCUGAGGAGCGAAAGCGUGGGUAGCAAACAGG
rnacentral:rRNA from 1 species